rfam:Macaca mulatta chromosome 18, whole genome shotgun sequence.
GGCAUGGCAGGCCUUCUCUUUCCAGUUCUUCCCAGAAUUGGGAAAAGCUGGGUUGACAGGGUAAAAAAAAGAAAAA